GCCCGAAUGGCUCAGUGGUAAAGCGUCUCACUAGUAAUGAGAAGAUCGCUAUUUCGAUUCUGGCUUUGGGCA